AGCGAACGCUGGCGGCAGGCCUAACACAUGCAAGUCGAACGAACUCUUCGGAGUUAGUGGCGGACGGGUGAGUAACACGUGGGAACGUGCCUUUAGGUUCGGAAUAACUCAGGGAAACUUGUGCUAAUACCGAAUGUGCCCUUCGGGGGAAAGAUUUAUCGCCUUUAGAGCGGCCCGCGUCUGAUUAGCUAGUUGGGGAGGUAAAGGCUCACUAAGGCGCCGAUCAGUAGCUGGUUUGAGAGGAUGAUCAGCCACAUUGGGACUGAGACACGGCCCAAACUCCUACGGGAGGGAGCAGUGGGGAAUCUUGCGAAAUGGGCGAAAGCCUGACGCAGCCAUGCCGCGUGAAUGAUGAAGGUCUUAGGAUUGUAAAAUUCUUUCACCGGGGACGAUAAUGACGGUACCCGGAGAAGAAGCCCCGGCUAACUUCGUG
rnacentral:rRNA from 1 species